GGUGGCCGCGGGGUGGCCGAGGCUCACCCCCGCGCAACGGAACUGUUGGUGCGCUCCGACGGCGCGGAAGCCUCCGCCGAGCGCCGCCUUCUGACAGAGCUCCACAGGGCUAUGUGAAGAAGGCUUCCAAAGGAGAGAUCACGUCUAGAACCCUCCUGUAGAUGGAUCACAGGCUGUUGGGCAUGUUGAAAAUGCUGUUGCGUUGGCAGACAAGCUUUGGCAAGCUGCUUCAUAGAGGCUGAAAGGAGGUUUUGCUUCCAGCUCCACUCCUCUGCUGGAAUUACUGUCUGCACAGUAAUGGGGGAAUGCAGACCUUUGACUUAGCAGCUCUGGUGCAAAGGGUAAAACAUUCACCUUUGCUAAAGGUUAAAACUGAAAUGCUUUUCUGGCAGCAUAGGUGAAUUUGCACUAAAACAUCAAACUGAGUAGAAGAAAGCGAAGCACUUGAUUCCUCCUGCUGCUCUGGUGGUUGGGAAGAUGGGAUGGAAAAGGUGAGCGGUCUUCCAUGAGGUGCAGCACAGAAGGGAGCCUACUAGAUCCAUGGAUCAGGCAUGUAACAACCCUACAGUGACUGAAGUUCUGAAGUUCAAAGGGCUUUAGUUUUGUUUGUUUUCUAAUAUUUUGUCUAAACAUUAGGAUCAAAUGUGACAUAAUUAUUAAAAUGCUUCUGAUUUAC
rnacentral:lncRNA from 7 species